UGCCCUUUGUACACACCGCCCGUCGCUGCCCGGGACUGAGCCAUUUCGAGAAAUUUGGGGACCGUUGAUUUAAUUUUUCUAAAUUACUUUGAUGGAAACCAAUUUAAUCGCAGUGGCUUGAACCGGGCAAAAGUCGUAACAAGGUAGCUGUAGGUGAACCUGCUGCUGGAUCAUUACUUUAUGUGAUGUUGAAAUUUGAAUUCGCAACAUAAAUAUAUUGUUGUGAAACGGCUGUCGCUGGUGUCUAGGUGUUGCUGAUACAGUUGUGAACGUCCGUGGCUGUAUAUGUGGUGACAUGUUAGGACUAAGACUUAAUGAGCCUCUUAAGUGAGGACGCCAGCACUCUUUUUUUCUCUAUAUUUUUAAAAAAAAACUAAAAUUCUAGCCUUAUCGGUGGAUCACUCGGCUCGUGGAUCGAUGAAGAACGCAGCAAACUGCGAUAAUUUGUGCGAACUGCAGAAACCUUGAGCACAAAAGUUUUGAACGCAUAUUGCCGCAUUGGGGUCAAACCUUUUGCUACGUCUGGUUCAGGGUCAUUUUCUUUUAAAGCGAAAGCUUUAAUUUAUAUAUGCUAUUGAUGCUUUAUAUUUUAAGAGGAUUGUUGUUUAUCCUAGUUGUAUGAAUAUAACUACAAGAACCAAACAAUUUUGACCUGAACUCAGUCGAGAGCACCCGCUGAACU
rnacentral:rRNA from 1 species